rnacentral:rRNA from 1 species
CCUACGGGAGGCAGCAGUGGGGAAUAUUGGGCAAUGGAGGCAACUCUGACCCAGCAACGCCGCGUGAAUGAUGAAGGUCUUCGGAUUGUAAAGUUCUUUUCUAAGGGAAGAAGAAAGUGACGGUACCUUAGGAAUAAGCCUCGGCCAACUACGUGCCAGCAGCCGCGGUAAUACGUAGGAGGCAAGCGUUUUACGGAAUGACUGGGCGGAAAGGGGGCGUAGGUGGUUUGACAAGUUAGUAGCGCAACUCCGGAGCUCAACUUCGGAACUACUAUUAAAACUGUUGGACUUGAGUGCAGGAGGGGAAAGCGGAAUUACUAGUGGAGCAGUGGAAUGCGUAGAUAGUAGGAGGAACACCAGUGGCGAAGGCGGAUUGCUAGACUGUAACUGACACUGAGGCACGAAAGCGUGGGGAGCAAACAGGAUUAGAUACCCGAGUAGUC